GAAUGACUCUCAACAAUGGAUAUCUCGGCUCUUGCAUCGAGUCUGUGAACGCAAGUUGCGCCCGAAGCCAUUAGGCCGAGGGCACGCCUGCCUGGGUGUCACAC
rnacentral:rRNA from 1 species